UACAGAGGGGGCAAGCGUUGUUCGGAAUUACUGGGCGUAAAGGGCGCGUAGGCGGCCUGCUAAGUCGAACGUGAAAUCCCCGGGCUCAACCCGGGAACUGCGUCCGAUACUGGCUGGCUUGAAUUCGGGAGAGGGAUGCGGAAUUCCAGGUGUAGCGGUGAAAUGCGUAGAUAUCUGGAGGAACACCGGUGGCGAAGGCGGCAUCCUGGACCAACACUGACACUGAGGAGCGAAAGCCAGGGGAGCAAACGGG
rnacentral:rRNA from 1 species